ensembl:snRNA U6 U6 spliceosomal RNA
GUGCUUGGUCAGCACAUAUACUAAAAUUGGAACAAUACAGAGAAGAUAUUAGCAUGGCAUCUGCACAAGGAUAACUCACAAAUUCGUAAAGCAUUUCAUAUUUUU